CGGGAAAAGCUCAAAUUUAAAAUCUGGUGGUUCUGCCAUCCGAAUUGUAAUUUAGAGAAGUGUUAUCCGUGCUGGACCGUGUAUAAGUCUCCUGGAAUGGAGCGUCAUAGAGGGUGAGAAUCCCGUCUUUGACAUGGACUACCAGUGCUUUGUGAUGCGCUCUCGA
rnacentral:rRNA from 1 species